rnacentral:rRNA from 1 species
GAUCCAGACUUUGAUUCUGGCUCAGGACGAACGCUGGCGGCGCGCCUAACACAUGCAAGUCGAACGGGGUGCGUUCGGAUGAAGUUUUCGGAUGGAUUUUGGAUGUACCUAGUGGCGAACGGGUGAGUAACACGUGAAUAACCUGCCCUGGAGUGGGGGACAACAGUUGGAAACGACUGCUAAUACCGCAUAAGCCCACAGAGCCGCAUGGCUCAGGGGGAAAAGGAGCAAUUCGCUUCAGGAUGGAUUCGCGUCCAAUUAGCUAGAUGGUGAGGUAACGGCCCACCAUGGCAACGAUUGGUAGCCGGACUGAGAGGUUGAUCGGCCACAUUGGGACUGAGACACGGCCCAGACUCCUACGGGAGGCAGCAGUGGGGAAUAUUGCACAAUGGGGGAAACCCUGAUGCAGCGACGCCGCGUGGAGGAAGAAGGUCUUCGGAUUGUAAACUCCUGUCGUUGGGGACGAUAAUGACGGUACCCAACAAGAAAGCCACGGCUAACUACGUGCCAGCAGCCGCGGUAAAACGUAGGUGGCAAGCGUUGUCCGGAAUUACUGGGUGUAAAGGGAGCGCAGGCGGAAGGACAAGUUGGAAGUGAAACCCACGGGCUCAACUCGUGAACUGCUUUCAAAACUGUUUUUCUUGAGUGGUGUAGAGGUAGGCGGAAUUCCCGGUGUAGCGGUGGAAUGCGUAGAUAUCGGGAGGAACACCAGUGGCGAAGGCGGCCUACUGGGCACUAACUGACGCUGAGGCUCGAAAGCAUGGGUAGCAAACAGGAUUAGAUACCCUGGUAGUCCAUGCCGUAAACGAUGAUUACUAGGUGUGGGAGGAUUGACCCCUUCCGUGCCGCAGUUAACACAAUAAGUAAUCCACCUGGGGAGUACGACCGCAAGGUUGCAACUCAAAUGAAUUGACGG